CCGAUCUCGGAUCCGCGAGCGCCACCAGGGCAGCAGCCGCCGCAGCCGCCGCCGCUGUGCUGAGGAGCCGGAGACGCGGGCGGACGAGGUGGCGGCGGCGGCGGAGCGGGAGCGGGGAGCGGACGCGGGCGGAGCGCGGCGGCGCGGGUGUAAUCCAGAGAACAAUUUUCAAACAUCUUUGCUCAUAUUUGACACUGAGCAGUCAGGGGAUUCAGGCAUAUGAGGAGGUAUUGUCACACAAAACAGUGUCUAGUGAAGACGACAAGAAAGAGAGAGAAGGAUCGGAAAAAGAAGUUAAAAUACCAUAGGAAACCAUGAGAUCUAUUAGAUCUUUUGCCAAUGACGAUCGCCAUGUUAUGGUGAAACAUUCAACAAUCUAUCCAUCUCCGGAGGAACUUGAAGCUGUUCAAAAUAUGGUGUCUACUGUUGAAUGUGCUCUUAAACAUGUCUCAGAUUGGCUGGAUGAAACAAAUAAAGGCACAAAAACUGAGGGGGAGACAGAAGUAAAGAAAGAUGAGGCUGUGGAAAACUAUUCCAAGGAUCAAGGUGGCCGGACAUUGUGUGGUGUAAUGAGGAUUGGCUUGGUUGCAAAAGGCUUGCUGAUUAAAGAUGAUAUGGACUUGGAGCUGGUUUUAAUGUGCAAAGACAAACCCACGGAAACCCUGCUAAAUACAGUCAAAGAUAACCUUCCUAUUCAGAUUCAGAAACUGACAGAAGAGAAAUACCAAGUGGAACAGUGUAUAAGUGAAGCUUCUAUUAUAAUUCGGAACACGAAAGAACCCACACUGACUUUGAAGGUGAUACUUACUUCCCCUUUAAUUAGGGACGAAUUGGAGAAGAAGGAUGGAGAAAAUGUUAUGAUGAAAGACCCUCCGGACUUACUGGACAGGCAGAAAUGCCUAAAUGCCUUGGCUUCUCUUCGACAUGCCAAAUGGUUUCAGGCAAGGGCAAAUGGAUUAAAAUCAUGUGUAAUUGUCCUCCGAAUUCUGCGUGAUUUGUGCAACAGAGUACCUACAUGGGCACCAUUGAAAGGAUGGCCACUAGAGCUUAUAUGUGAAAAGUCUAUAGGUACUUGUAAUAGACCUUUGGGCGCUGGGGAGGCCUUGAGACGAGUUAUGGAGUGUUUGGCAUCUGGAAUACUACUUCCUGGGGGUCCUGGCCUUCAUGAUCCUUGUGAGCGAGACCCAACAGAUGCUCUGAGCUACAUGACCACUCAGCAAAAAGAAGAAAUCACUCAUAGUGCACAGCAUGCACUUAGACUAUCAGCCUUUGGCCAGAUUUAUAAAGUGCUGGAGAUGGACCCCCUUCCAUCUAGUAAGCCUUUUCAGAAGUAUUCCUGGUCGGUUACUGAUAAAGAAGGUGCUGGAUCUUCAGCUCUAAAGAGGCCAUUUGAAGAUGGAUUAGGGGAUGAUAAAGAUCCCAAUAAGAAGAUGAAACGAAACUUAAGGAAAAUUCUGGACAGUAAAGCAAUAGACCUUAUGAAUGCGCUAAUGAGAUUAAACCAGAUCAGGCCUGGGCUACAAUAUAAGCUUUUGUCACAGUCUGGCCCAGUCCAUGCCCCAGUCUUCACAAUGUCUGUAGAUGUGGAUGGCACAACAUAUGAAGCCUCAGGACCAUCCAAGAAAACAGCAAAACUUCAUGUAGCAGUGAAGGUUUUACAGGCAAUGGGAUACCCAACAGGUUUUGAUGCAGAUAUUGAAUGUAUGAGCUCCGAUGAAAAAUCAGAUAAUGAAAGCAAAAAUGAAACAGUGUCUUCAAACUCAAGCAAUAAUACUGGAAAUUCUACAACUGAGACCUCCAGUACCUUAGAGGUAAGAACUCAGGGUCCUAUCCUCACAGCAAGUGGCAAAAACCCUGUAAUGGAGCUCAAUGAAAAAAGGAGAGGUCUCAAGUAUGAACUCAUCUCAGAGACUGGUGGAAGCCAUGACAAGCGCUUUGUAAUGGAGGUAGAAGUAGAUGGACAGAAAUUUAGAGGUGCAGGUCCAAACAAGAAAGUGGCCAAGGCAAGUGCAGCAUUAGCUGCCCUGGAGAAGCUGUUUUCUGGACCCAAUGCUGCAAAUAAUAAGAAAAAGAAGAUCAUUCCUCAGGCAAAGGGUGUUGUGAAUACGGCAGUAUCUGCAGCAGUUCAGGCAGUUCGGGGCAGAGGAAGAGGAACUCUGACAAGGGGAGCGUUCGUGGGGGCCACAGCAGCUCCUGGCUACAUAGCUCCAGGUUAUGGAACACCAUAUGGUUACAGCACAGCUGCCCCUGCAUAUGGUUAAUACUUUUAAGCAGUUUUCAGCACGUUUAUCUCACUUUAUUCUCGUUCUCCUCGGACCUCCGUAGCCAUAUCACUUGUAUAAGAUAGGCUGAGAUAUAGUGACUGUAAGCUGUGAUCUCAGUUCACAAAGCAAUUUCUAUUCGUUUCUAGCAUUAAGGUUGCUGGGACAACUUUGUACCCAUACAGAACCUGCAGUUUAUGAGGUUGGCUUCUGUUAAAGGCUGAACAAGGCAGAGCAGUGCAGUGCAGUCCUGUGCCUGCUGAUGCCAAGUCCUUUUCUGGGAUCCCGAGAAAGAGGCCCUGACCAGUGGGAGCGUCUGAAGUCUGAAAGUUCCCUUGCUGGUGGAAUUGGCCUUGUUGUAAAUAAAUGCCCUCCUUUGGGAGAUAGUGUAUUAACAGUGGCAAAAGUUACUAAUUUAUCUAGUAGUUUAAUUAUAAAAUACUGAAUAUCGUAGGCUUUCUAACACCACAAACUUGAUGUUACUUGAAGAUUUCCUCAAGUAGCGUAUUUCCUCGGCACUUUUGAGGGCCUGAAAUCUGCUCUGGUUACACUCCUCAUGCUCUGUGCAAAUGUUGGUUCAGAAAGUGGGAUGCCCAGCACACACUGCAGCCCCGCAUGGCAGCUGUCUCUGUAGUCCUGCCAAGAACACAGUGGGCAAUGUAAACACUGACUGCAUUCUUUCAAUGGCAGGUGAGUGUUACCAUUAUAAUAAAUCACUUGCUGUAAGUUUCCUGAUUCUUAUUUUUCACUAAUGAUUAGAAUGGAGGAGAAUAGUCAGCACUAAGGGAAAUGCGCUAGAGAUGUUUUCUCCCCAAGCUGUCUGGAGCCUGUAAACCCAGGGGUAUUGUGAGCAAAGUAACAUCUGAAAGCAGCCCGCUCUAUGAAUGGUCUGCGUUCAUUUCUACUCUUUUAAUGCCAGUGCCUCAAGUCACCAAGAACCACAAAGGUACCAUGGCAUUCAUGCCUGUUCUCUGCAACAUCUGAUGCCAUGCAGUCAGUGUUCCUUAGUGUUACUAGGAGGCUUGGGAGGGAGAUGGAUGGGGUGUCAGUGACAACAGCAGACCUAAGCACCUGAAGUUAAGAUGAGCUUCAACACGGGUGUGUGUGUCUGUAGCACUUAACAGCACACAGUGCAGCCUUGUUUAAGACUCAGCCCCUUCUCCUAAUGGUGUCUUAUAGAAAGGCUGUUAAGCAUAGGAUUUGUGUUGGAUUAGUUGCACAAAUAGAUAUCCUUUCCAUGUCACUGUCAUUUCAGUUAGGAGCUAACAGCUUCCAUUAAUGUUUGAAGCAAUGAUCUUUGGAAGUUUUUAAAAAUAGAACCAUAAUGUGAAUUGGGUUAUAUAAGCUUUACAGCACAGAUAGAGAUAAAGGAUAGAAGCCAUGUGGAAUCCAGACCAAAGGAUUUCUCUCACUCCAGCCUAUUCCUGUGGAGCUUGGGAAUCUGAUGAGCUCAUAUAUUCAAAGCUUUUAAUGGUACCUGGUACACAGGAAGUACUUGUGAAUGCUGACUCUGCUGUUCCCCUGGUUGAGACAGAAGGAUAGAUGUGAGGCCCUGCCGGUUAAGCAGCAGGUGCAUGGUCUGCUUAGGAGUGAGUUGGGCUUACUACUUUGUGCUCAUAGGCCUGGGCUGCCCCCAGCCUGAGGCCAGACUUGGCAGGACAGGUUUGCUCAUAUUUUUGCUGCAGCAGUUAAAUCACCAGCCAGCUUGCAGCCAUGGUUUGUAGAUACUUGUUUGGGAUUUACAGGUGCUUAGAGUUUUUACAAAGGCUGAACUUAGAACAUUUACCUGCUGAUUUCAGGUUUUCUACCCACAAUUUAGUAAUAACCUAUAGUGGCCAGAAUCUAGUCUCAAAGGCUUGUGGUGUUUGGUUUUAGAGAACAAGUUAUUAUAAACUCGGGAAAGAAAAGGAGGACCAAGGAAGCACCUAGGAUGCUGUUCACUCAGAUUCUUCCGUGAGAAGUCCCUGUAUCUUGUCUCAUGGUACAUUAGUGGAAAGCAUCUGCACUCACACCACAUGAGGUCCCCUUCUGUCUGAGACUCUUAGAGCGUUAGUCUAUUGUGUUUCUACCUGUUGGUCUACCUAUCUGGACACAGUUGGAAAGUUUCUGUUGAAUACAAGGACAAAUGGGGUGAUGGUAAAGUUGCUGCUUCUGAACUACCAUGCAAGGACUGGCUCAUACAUGCUGGCAAAGACCUAAGGAGCCUCAGAAGGAAGGUGGACAGGUUGAGGUCCAGGCUGUUAGUAGGAGGUGAGUUAAGUGGAAACACAAAUUGAAUUCUGAGGUGUUGAAUUUUAGAAAAAACUGUGUGGACAAGGAUUACCUUUAAGGAGUAAAUUAGACUUGUGUUACUUGGUAAAAGUUACUAUGUUUCUCCUUAGCUGAGACUAUGGGUAGGUUCUUCAUCUCAUUUGGCCAGCAUUGAAGAAAGGCUCUUAAGCACGCGCGCGCACACACACACACACACACACACACACACACACACACACACACACACACACACACACCGCCACUGCCAUGCCCAGGUGGCAGUAGCGUGGACUUAACAGCUUCCUUCUCACUGGAGAGGAGUGGUCCACAGUUGUCUCUCUCUGCUGCUGAAGACCAACAGCAGCACAUGGGGUCAGCAUUUGUUGCAGUUAGGACAUUGCUGUCCUUCUUUGUUGGAUCUUCUCCUUCCUUGUCCCAAGUCAUUCAGUUAAUGGCAGUUUUUGUUUAGGACUUAGGCUUGCCCAACAUUUUGACAUCACAACAUGUCACCUACAAUGUUCAUGUGACAACCCUAUAAAAUUCUACCAAAAAAAAAA